CAGCUCUGUGCGAGAUAUGUGCUAUUGCCUCAGCUCCUGCAUACAUGCCAACCAGGGUUGGACUGGGCAGGCUCAGACCCUCUGCUCUCCCACCUGAGACUAAUGGCGCUCCCCCUGGCCUCCCUUGAUUGUGGCCGCAAAGGAAAGUAAAAGUAAAGGAGGGCGAGCCUGGCAAGGAUGGGAGAUCUCUGGGAACUGCUACUGAGGGCAAGAGAUAACAUCUUGUGUGCUUCCUCCGUCCGAUC